AAAACGUGUAUAAAAAUGACAAGUGACAUAAGAUAGAAAGAUAAAAUAUUCAUAUAGCACAUUUAAAAUGAUAUGCAAAUAUGAUUAUAUGUAUAUGUAUAUAUGCAGACUUUGUAAUUGAUAUUUGUCAAUCAAGCCAUUUCUAAAAUCUCCAAUAAUACUUUACAAGCUGAUAUAUGAUGUUUACAUUGAUAACGGAUGUCUACAUCAACUUUAGACGAGAGAAUUUCAUCGACGAGAGCAUUUUAAUAAAACUUUGUACAGCGCAAAUGGUAAACACGGCAAGGUACUAACGUCUUUGAAAUAUAAUAAAUGGAAAUUCCAACCGUCUCGCGGUAAAACAUCAGAACGAGGCAAAACGUAAUAGCAGGAUCUUGUUCACUUCGCGUUAAAAAGAAGAACGUGAAGUAACGGAAGCGGGACCACCCCACUCAAGCACGGAACCCAAUGUGAAGAAGCCGAUGUUACAUUCGCGUGCGCAUGGAUCGUAGAUCGAAAGCGCGGACGAAUCGCAGAGACGCGAGCCUGCUGGACUGAAGAGGGGAUAAGUUGAAUUGAAAUGCGCGCAUCGAUCGCUCUUCGGGAUCGAGGAACUUGUCGGUCUCGCAAUGUCUCACGCAUGACACAGAAUCGGAACCGAGGUGAGUGAAGAGGUACCAGUACUGCAAGAGUUGCGAGAUGACCAUUGCAGUCAUCCAAAUAACUCGCAUCAAGAAUCUGCAUGAGGAAUCUGGCCAAACGCCGAUAAACCGCAAAGUGAAUUCCAUCGGACCGCCGAUGGUGCUCCCUCAACCACCGGCCGUCCCUCCGACCAACGUAGAUUCGCAGUUCUAUCACGUUUCUUCCGGGAAAGAAGAUGGACCCUUCCUGAUUAAGCGCAACCAGCACCGUGGGUCACGUGCUUGCGUACUCCGGGCACUGAUGUCGGAUAGAACCUCGCGGCUAGCUAAACGCCAUGCUUCGCCAUAAAAACUUUCCACGGGGUCUAGUUGAUCUCAUAGAGGCAGCGGAUAAAGUGCUGCUUGCGCGGAACGACUACCGUCCGACUGCAAUUACCGAAGGCCAUUAUACGAAGCGCACGUAAAUGUGUAACGACGAUCGUCGGAGAAAGGGACUAUUGGAGGUUUGCAUGAUUCACGGCUGUGAGAACUUCACCUCUGGUUCCACGAUGAUGUAACGUGACAAUUUCCCAACGUGUGCAUGCAGCGGCAGCCGUUGCCUUCGCUCCUAAAGUUACGUCACGUAAUAAAUUUUAUCCGUAUCAGCGACAGUGGAUGUGCCACUUCCGGACGAGCGCAGAUUGAAAAUAAGAGGAACUUACGGCGCGGAUGUAAAAUUGUAAUGCGAACGUCCUCGAUGAGAAUAGACUCGAUUUUCACGAUAAAAAAUUCCAACAAUAUUUCUCCGCUGUACGUUCUUGCCGCACAUUUCGCAAACCGACGACGGCCUUCGCUCGAUAUUAUUAAAUUUAUCUUUCGAGAUGAUAACCACCCGAGAGGAGAAAUCGCAAUUAAGUUAUUGCAAACUACAGACGUUCGGUCAUCAUCCGCAGUCUCAUAGGAAAUCAUGAUGCCGGCACGUAGGAAAAUGUUGCGAACAAACACGAAAUAAUGCGAGCCGUAAGAAUUUACGCGCGCUUUGGGACGCGAAUUUCAGUAGAAAAACAAGAUCGAACAAUAUCGAGUCAUCGAUAUCAACUGGAUGAAAAUGUAUGUUAUCUAUAAAUCUAGAAUAAAAAGAAAAUUGAAGAAUUUUUAUCGCCGCUCCAUCGUCUAGAAAAAUCUUGAAUGUGGAGAAAAAGAUUUGAUUAUUGUGAAAAAGGACAGUAACGAAGACGGAGCAGCUAUCUUGUAGAAAAGCUCCCAGACGAAUUCCUCGCCGAGUUGCCAGGAGCAAGUGAAAGGAAACAGAAAGACACACCCCGGAGACGCGGGAACGAAAAGCACGGAAAUGAAGAAAGAAUGCAUCGUAAAAAUCAAAGGAUUAAUACAAUACAGGAAGAUUCUCAAGGAACAGAGAGAUAGAGAAAGGACGGUGAGGUUGUUGGCCGGAGCUGCAGGGUGCUGUUCGAUUUUGGGGAUUGAGCUUGGUCCGGGGUUGUCUAGCCAUGCGGGGGUUGUCCGGGUGGCUCAGGUUCAAGGACACAACGGUCGAUAAACCCCCGACAAGACUGGAAAAAGGGAGAGGGGGGAGGACGUGGCUCGAGAGCGGAAGUGGAAGGAGCUAGAUUGCCUGCAGACUGCGAAAAUUUAUUGCGAACAAAAUUGAUCUCUCUUCAUAUUAAUACCUUUCAAAUGCUGAAUAAUUUUGCAGCAGGACAAAAUCGACCUUCCGGACCAUCAAAUUCAGAUAAGUUUCUCUUUACUGGAACAGUAUCAUCCAUCAAAGUCAAAUGAACUGGUUGAUCGGCUUCGUGAUUGGUACCGGUUAGAGCUACCGAUGACAGAAGAUCGAAGGAUACCUCAUUAUCUGGUUUGGGGUAUUCGAUUGGCGUAGAUUCAGCUGCGGAUUUCAAUUUCUUAUGAUCAGGACCUGCAAACAUACGAGAAGUAUCAAAAGAUUUAAAAUAUUAUAUUCGAAAUUAACGUUUGCAAUAUUUUUGAGGAAACCUCUUCUAAAGUUUGCAUACAAAUCUUUUCUUACCUCCAUGGGACAAAGUCCACGGCUCUCUACCGCCUAGUAACAUGGAAAAACCAGAGUACAUUAAACCGCCGAAAAGUCCAAGAGAAUUGUGAAAGCUAGGCCUCAUAUUUCUUACAGCUUUCAAUUCUUUAUAAAUCCAACUAUUUUUUAUUUUAUCUGUGUAUGUUUUCGGUUCUAAGCCUUCCGUCGGUGAAGUAUUACUUUCUGCGUCUAUGAUCGCUUCAAUAACACUUUCUGCAGCUAGCAUGCCACUUUUCAUGGCAUUAUGAGUUCCUUUAAUUUUGGGCACAUUUAAGAAACCUGCCGUACAUCCAAUGAGACAACCACCAGGAAACUGAAGUUUAGGAAUAGAUUGGAAUCCACCUUCUACCAAUGCUCUAGCGCCAUAAGCUAUUCUAAAAUUAAAAGUAAAUGUAGAGAAUACAAAUAAGCACAAUUAAAAUCUCUUAUAAAAAACA